GACGAACGCUGGCGGCGUGCUUAACACAUGCAAGUCGAGCGGUAAGGCCUUUCGGGGUACACGAGCGGCGAACGGGUGAGUAACACGUGGGUGAUCUGCCCUGCACUUCGGGAUAAGCCUGGGACACUGGGUCUAAUACCGGAUAUGACCUCCUAUCGCAUGGCGGGUGGUGGCAAGAUUUAUCGGUGCAGGAUGGGCCCGCGGCCUAUCAGCUAGUUGGUGGGGUAAUGGCCUACCAAGGCGACGACGGGUAGCCGACCUGAGAGGGUGACCGGCCACACGGGGACUGAGGGACGGACCAGAAGCCUACGGGAGGCAGCAGUGGGGAAUAUUGCACAAUGGGCGAAAGCCUGAUGCAGCGACGCCGCGUGAGGGAUGACGGCCUUCGAGUUGUAAACCUCUUUCAGCAGGGACGAAGCGAAAGUGACGGUACCUGCAGAAGAAGCACCGGCUAACUACGUG
rnacentral:rRNA from 1 species